rnacentral:tRNA from 1 species
GCGUCCUUAGCUCAGUUGGUAGAGCGCCGUCAUGACAUGGCGGAUGUCACUGGUUCAAGCCCAGUAGGACGCACCA